rnacentral:rRNA from 1 species
CCUACGGGAGGCAGCAGUGGGGAAUAUUGGACAAUGGGGGCAACCCUGAUCCAGCCAUGCCGCGUGUGUGAAGAAGGCCCUCGGGUUGUAAAGCACUUUCAGUGAGGAAGAACGCCUGGUGGUUAAUACCCAUCAGGAAAGACAUCACUCACAGAAGAAGCACCGGCUAACUCCGUGCCAGCAGCCGCGGUAAUACGGAGGGUGCGAGCGUUAAUCGGAAUUACUGGGCGUAAAGCGCGCGUAGGUGGCUUGAUAAGCCGGUUGUGAAAGCCCCGGGCUCAACCUGGGAAUGGCAUCCGGAACUGUCAAGCUAGAGUGCAGGAGAGGAAGGUAGAAUUCCCGGUGUAGCGGUGAAAUGCGUAGAGAUCGGGAGGAAUACCAGUGGCGAAGGCGGCCUUCUGGACUGACACUGACACUGAGGUGCGAAAGCGUGGGUAGCAAACAGGAUUAGAUACCCCGGUAGUC